UUCUCUCUCUCUCUGCCGAUUUUCAAUUUAGGGUUUCAUGAGAUCUAUGGUAUGAGCAAGAUCUCACCAGAUCCAACAAUGGUGUGGUCUGUAAAAGUGGUCGAGACAAGAUCUGCGCUUCAAGAUCAGUCGAUUCAACCCAAGAUUACCUGGUGGUUGUGGGUGGAAGAUGGUGGCGAUGACACAAAGAUCUACCCUUUGGUGUCCAGAUCUACCGUUUGGUGGCCAGAUCUACCGUUUGAAGUUGAAGACCAAUGGCUCAAUUGAUCUUCUGAAUUGAGAAAUUGCAACGUCUGAAAGAGGUUUGCAGUGAUUUAGGCUAGCCAUGGUUGAUCUUCUGAGUUUAGAAAUUGCAAUGUCUAAAAGAGGAAACUUUUUUGUGUGACAACACAUUAAGAGGAACGCAGCCAAGGCAAUUAGGGAGCUCAAGAAAUUUGCACAGAAGGCUAUGGGAAUGGUUUUACCCGUGGACAAUGGUGAUUGUGGUAGUAGGCGAAGACGAUUGAAGUGUAUUCAAUUCAGAUAAACAAAGCAAUACUUGAAUUAGGGCAACCUAAUGAUAGUUCAUUGAUCCAACAUAUUGAUUUUACAGAAUGAAACAACAUAACUGAAUUAAGAAUACAAAUAAGAGAUAGAAGAUGGGAAUCAGAUUACAGAAUGGAUGGAUGGGAAGAGAAGAAAAUCACCGACUAACGAUAUUCAUACCCUCUACUCUCAUUUGCUCAUCUUUUAUAUAUUGAAACCGUUCAACUUGAUGGGCCUCAUGGAUUGGGCUAUCUGAAUGGGUCUGGUUAAGUCCAAUGGGUUUAUAACAAUGAGGGUGGUGUCUUCUGGCGAUUAAGCAGUCGUACAAACGGUGGCUAGCGGCCACAACCACUCUUCGGCAUUAAAUGGUUUAAUUGAAA